rnacentral:lncRNA from 1 species
AGCCAAGUGAAUGUAUAGCAUUAUGUGUUACGGGUUUGGUAUCCCAGUUGAGAGGAUUUAGGGCUGAGGUGUAUGUGAGACGUCCAUCACCUCGAGCCUAGUUUUGGUGCGGUAUUCCGCAGUUGAUUGACUCGAGACCGAGUCGGGUGGUUAGCUUGGCUAGGGUAGAGGAAAACCUUAGGAGCAAAUAACCAAUGAUGUAAAGUGAUAAGAUGUAUAAAUUAUGAAAAAGCUAUGGAUAGCAUGAUACAAAGUAAAAUCAUUUAUUCUACUUGUAUAGUUGCAUGAUUCGCAUAUAGCAUGGCAUUAUUGCAUUCGUGAGGCAAAGCAUGGUUUUAUUAGUUGCAUAAUAAAGAUAUAUAUCUAUCUGUUUAUUGAACUAACUUGCAGUUGCCUCCCUUGGACCUAUUGGUCGAGCUUUUUCCUUGGGUGGCCGUACCCACUGGGAACCAUGGAGUUGGUUCUCACCCCACGUGGUUUUGGGGUGUUACAGGUUCGCACGUGAGCGGCGCGGCGGCGCGAGGCGAGGGCGUAGCUCCAUAGUUAGCGCCCUACCACGGAGACCAGAGAUAGCGGUACCCUGAGUCGGCCUUACUUAGGGAUGUAAAGAAUGAAAAGAAUCAAGUUGUAAUAAUCAUGUUAAAUCGGAUUGUAUUUGGAAGUUAAAUGUAAUAAGUACUUGGGAUGUAAAAUGUAUAUAGUGAAUGUGAAUGCAUGAAUAACAUAGGAUGUGUUAUGUUGUUUGAUACCUUCCUUAUGCAAUCUUUGAUUGAAAUGUGUUCCUGGUUGGAACUUUGUACAUUGUAUUGAUUGUGAUGCCUUGAAUGUACAGGGGAGACUCUGUCCGCGGUACAGGGGAAACCCUGUCCCUUCGGCGGUCUGUUGCGGCGCCGCGACCCGGCCAAAUAGGCGAGCGGUCGCGGGGCGUGAUAGAUAAGAUGGUAUCAGAGCAUAAAAAGAACAUAAAAAGAAUAAUAGAAAAUGGUUUAGUUGGACCUAGGAGACCCUAGGAUAGUAAACCAUAGGAGAUUAAGGCUCGUGAGAUACGAGGACUUGUGACUUUUGGCGAAAGGUUAAUUGAUUGGGUUAUGUCAUAAACCUCUAAAACGGAUGUUAGAGGUAGACUCAAGGUGAGGUUUAUUCUCAACAGAGGGUGUUCAUAUUGGGUGCACACAACAUGAAGCCGAGUGAUGAGAGUAGACGCCUUCGCGUGACUUUCGCCCGAUUUGAGUCGGUAUUAAGUGUUUCGUGUUCGACCUAGAAGGUCGAGGAUUAAUAAGGUUGUUGCGUUUUAGGGAGUAAUAGCACCGCGUAGGUGAUCUUCUUUUAGAUCGGUGCGGGAUGGGCCAAGUGGUGUCCCUGGGCAAUUUGAGGCGAGC